GGCGAACGCUGGCGGCGUGCUUAACACAUGCAAGUCGAGCGGUAAGGCCCUUUCGGGGGUACACGAGCGGCGAACGGGUGAGUAACACGUGGGUGACCUGCCCUCAGCUCUGGGAUAAGCCUGGGAAACCGGGUCUAAUACCGGAUACGACUCCAUGACGCAUGUUGUGGGGUGGAAAGCCUUGUGCGGCUGAGGAUGGGCCCGCGGCCUAUCAGCUUGUUGGUGGGGUGAUGGCCACCAAGGCGACGACGGGUAGCCGGCCUGAGAGGGCGACCGGCCACACUGGGACUGAGACACGGCCCAGACUCCUACGGGAGGCAGCAGUGGGGAAUCUUGCGCAAUGGGCGAAAGCCUGACGCAGCGACGCCGCGUGAGGGAUGACGGCCUGU
rnacentral:rRNA from 1 species